UCGAGGAUCUUCGGCAAUGGGCGCAAGCCUGACCGAGCGAUGCCGCGUGUGCGACGAAGGCCUUCGGGUUGUAAAGCACUGUCGAGGGGGAGAAAACCGAAAGGUCGAUCUAUCCCUGGAGGAAGCUCGGGCUAAGUUCGUGCCAGCAGCCGCGGUAAGACGAACCGAGCGAACGUUGUUCGGAAUCACUGGGCUUAAAGGGCGCGUAGGCGGGCUGCCAAGUCUGGGGUGAAAUCCUCCGGCUCAACCGGGGAAGGGCCUCGGAUACUGGCGGCCUCGAGGGGGGUAGGGGCGUGCGGAACUGUGGGUGGAGCGGUGAAAUGCGUUGAUAUCCACAGGAACUCCGGUGGCGAAGGCGGCACGCUGGACCCUCACUGACGCUGAGGCGCGAAAGCCAGGGGAGCGAACGGGAUUAGAUACCCGGGUAGUCC
rnacentral:rRNA from 1 species